rnacentral:rRNA from 1 species
UUCGAUUAAGCCAUGCAAGUCGAAUGUAGCAAUACAUGGCGUACUGCUCAGUAACACGUGGACAACCUGCCCUUAGGACGGGUAUAAACCCGGGAAACUGGGUAUAAUUCCCGAUAGGUCUCGUCUGCUGGAAUGCAUCGAGAUCCAAAGCUCCGGCGCCUAAGGAUGGGUCUGCGGCCUAUCAGGUAGUAGUGGGUGUAGCGUACCUACUAGCCUACGAUGGGUACGGGUUGUGAGAGCAAGAGCCCGGAGAUGGAUUCUGAGACACUAAUCCAGGCCCUACGGGGUGCAGCAGGCGCGAAAACUUUACAAUGCUGGGAACAGCGAUAAGGGAACCUCGAGUGCCAGGUUACAAAUCUGGCUGUCGUGAUGCCUAAAAAGCAUUACAUAGCAAGGGCCGGGCAAGACCGGUGCCAGCCGCCGCGGUAACACCGGCGGCUCGAGUGGUAACCGUUAUUAUUGGGUCUAAAGGGUCUGUAGCCGGCCGGAUAAGUCUCUUGGGAAAUCUGGCAGCUUAACUGUCAGGCUUUCAGGGGAUACUGUCUGGCUCGAGGCCGGGAGAGGUGAGAGGUACUUCAGGGGUAGGGGUGAAAUCUUGUAAUCCUUGAAGGACCACCAGUGGCGAAGGCGUCUCACCAGAACGGACCUGACGGCAAGGGACGAAAGCUAGGGGCACGAACCGGAUUAGAUACCCGGGUAGUCCUAGCCGUAAACGAUACUCGCUAGGUGUCGGCCACGGUGCGACCGUUGUCGGUGCCGUAGGGAAGCCGUGAAGCGAGCCACCUGGGAAGUACGGCCGCAAGGCUGAAACUUAAAGGAAUUGGCGGGGGAGCA